rnacentral:lncRNA from 1 species
AGCCUGAGGGUGCUCCAGCCCGGAAGCUAAGCAGGGUUGAUCCUGGCUGGGACUUGGAUGAGGGACCACUUGGGGAGAUCGGGGCUGGAGGCUUUUGGCUUCCCGCUCCCUUCCCACUUUUCCCUGCUUGUUACAACAUUUCCCGAUUCUGUGACCCCCCCGCCACCCGCUUCCCACAUGACUGCAUUCUUGCUCCAGCCCAGGACCUCCUUUUGGGGCUCCAUUUGGCCAGCCCCUGGGCACCAUAGCAAACUCAGGGUGCCCCAGCCGGGAAGGGCCCAGGACCUCCCAGUGGGUUUCCGUCCCAGCAGCCCGGGCGCCACAGCAGUCUGACAGCGCCCCAUCCCAGAAGCUCACCUGCACCCCUGCUGUGGAAGAAAACCUACCUAUAGGGGUACUCCCUGGCAGCCCAUGAAGCCAUAGUAGCCUGAAAGUGCUCAAGCCCAGAAAACAAUAGUUACUUCUGUGAGAUGAAUGGAAACUAUGUUCCAAUGGGAUCCAAAAUGUCCCUUCAAAAAUUCUACAAAAAGACUGCUUCCAAUCUGCUUAAUCAGAACAAAGGUUUAACUCCAUGAGAUGCAUCCAAACAUUGCAAAGCAUUUUCACAUAUAGCUUUUUUCUAGUUUUUAUCACGGGAUAUUCAUUUUUUCACUAUAGCCCCAAUUAGCUCCAAAAUGUCCAUUCAUAGAUUUUACAAAAACAGUGUUUCUAACAUGCUGAAUGAAAACAAAGGUUUAACUCUGUGAUAUGAAUCCACACAUUGGAAAGUGUUUUCACAGAUAGUUUGUUUCUAGGUUUUAUCAUGGAAUAUUCAGUUUUUCACUAUAGGUUUCAAUUAGCUCCAAAACAUCCAUUCGUAGAUGCUACAAAAAGAGUGUUUCCAACCUGCUGAAUCAAAACAAAGGUUUAAUUCUGAGAUAAAUCCACACAUCACAAAGCGGUUUCACAGAUACCUUGUUUCUAGUUUCUAUCGUGGAAUGUUUGGUUUUCUUACUAUGGGCCUCAAUGGGCUCUGAAAGUUCCCUUAGAUAUUACAAAAAGAUUGUUUACAACCUGCUGAAUCAAAGCAAUGUUUUAACUCUGUGAGAGAAAUCCAAAUGUCACAAAACAUUGUUAGAGGUAGCUUGCUUCUAGUUUUCAUCACUAGAUAAUCAGUUUCUUAAUAUAGGCCUCAAUGAGCUCAGAAAUGUCCCUUUGUAGAUUCUACAAGAAGACAGUUUCCAACCUGCUUAAUCAGAACAAAGGUUUACCUCUAUGAGAUGAAUCCACACAUUGCAGAGAAUUUUAACAGAUAGCUUGUUUCUGGAGUUUACUGCAGAAUAUUUGGUUUUCCACUAUAGGCUUCAAUGAGCUCAAAAAUCGCCCUUCGUAGAUUCACAAGAAGAGUGUUUCCAACCUGCUGAAUCAAAACAAAGUUUUAACUCUGCGAGAUGAAUCAACAUAUCACAAAGUAUUUUCAAGGAUAUCUUCUUUCUAGGUUUCAUUAUGAGAUAUUCCCUUUUUAACUAUGUGUUUCAAUGGGCUUCAGAAUGUCCCCUUGUAGUUUGUUCAAAAAGAGUGUUUCCAACCUUCUGAAUAAAAAGAAAAGUUUAACUCUG